AGGGGCUGGGCUAGUCACCGCAUGGGAAGCAGAAACCAGACACAGACAGAGAGAGCACCCAGAAGAAAUCAGAGCACAGCCAAACUUCUAAUCAGAGGUAAGAUGCAAAAGGAAGGUCCAGCCUUCUGGAGUAUGCAGAAGGUUUGACAAAGGCUGUCGUGGGGCUAAAUGAAUGUGAUCAUCCAGAGAUAAAUAAGGUCCAACAGAAAACAACAUGAACUAUUCAUUCCCUGCCAGCCAAGAAAAAAAACUGCCCGGAGAGCAACUGGAAAAAGUAAAGCAUAGAGAACAGACAGUGUAGCUCGAAACUGACUCAUUGUUUAAAGACAGAGCAACUCCAGUAGACAGAACAGAAGAUGCUACGGACACCAAACGUUUGGAUAGCUUUGGCCCCCACAGACCAGUGUUCCAAUGCUUGGCCCCCAGGGAGUGGCACUAUUAGGACGUGUGACCUUGUUGGAGGAAGCACAUCACUGUGAGGUGGGCUUAUAGUCUUCUAGUGGUCAAGUUCCCCAAGUGUGCAAUCAGACCCUCCUCCUGGCUGCCUGCUGAAGACAUUCUCCUUGCUGCCUUUUGGAUCAAGAUGUAGAAAUCUCAGCUCCUCCAGCAUCAAGCAUCUGCCUGCAGGAUUCCAUGCUCCCUACAAUGAUGAUAAUGGACUGAACCUCUGAAACUGUAAACCAGCGCCAAUUAAAUGUUUUCCUUGAUAAGAAUUACAUUGGGGGCUGAAGAGAUGGCUCAGUGAUUAAGAGCUCUGACUGCAGGCUGGGCGGUGGUGGCGCACGCCUUUAAUCCCAGCACUUGGGAGGCAGAGGCAGGUGGAUUUCUGAACUCAAGGCCAGCCUGGUCUACAGAGUGAGUUCCAGGACAGCCAGGGCUACACAGAGAAACCCUGUCUGGGAAAAAAAAAAAAAAAAAAAAAAAAAAAAAAGCACUGACGGCUCUUCCAGAGGUCCUGAGUUUAAUUCCCAGCAACCACAUGGUGGCUCAAAACCAUCUGUAAUGGCAUCUGAUACCCUCUUCUGGUAUGUCUGAAGACAGUGACAGUGUACUCAUAUACAUGAAAUAAAUAAAUGAAUAUUAAAAAAAAAA
rnacentral:lncRNA from 1 species